rnacentral:rRNA from 1 species
UACGUAGGGUGCAGGCGUUAAUCGGAAUUACUGGGCGUAAAGCGUGCGCAGGCGGUCUUUUAAGUCAGAUGUGAAAUCCCCGGGCUUAACCUGGGAACUGCGUUUGAAACUGAAAGGCUAGAGUGUGGCAGAGGGGGGUGGAAUUCCACGUGUAGCAGUGAAAUGCGUAGAUAUCUGGAGGAACACCGGUGGCGAAGGCGGCAUCCUGGACCAAUAUUGACGCUGAGGAGCGAAAGCCAGGGGAGCAAACGGG